UACGAAGGGGGCUAGCGUUGUUCGGAAUUACUGGGCGUAAAGCGCACGUAGGCGGAUUGUUAAGUCGGGGGUGAAAUCCCGGGGCUCAACCCCGGAACUGCCUUUGAUACUGAGGAUCUUGAGUUCGGGAGAGGUGAGUGGAACUGCGAGUGUAGAGGUGAAAUUCGUAGAUAUUCGCAAGAACACCAGUGGCGAAGGCGGCUCACUGGCCCGAUACUGACGCUGAGGCACGAAAGCGUGGGGAGCAAACAGG
rnacentral:rRNA from 1 species